rnacentral:tRNA from 1 species
GCCGAUGUAGCUCAGUUGGUAGAGCAACCCCAUGGUAAGGGGUAGGUCGCCGGUUCAAAUCCGGCCAUCGGCUCAA